UGAGCCUGCUAACGAUUCUGUUCCUC
rnacentral:piRNA from 1 species